AUCAUGGAGAGUUUGAUCCUGGCUCAGGAUGAACGCUGGCGGCGUGCCUAACACAUGCAAGUCGAACGGGAAUCUUCGGAUUCUAGUGGCGGACGGGUGAGUAACGCGUAAGA
rnacentral:rRNA from 2 species